GAGUAAUGGGUAAUUGAAAAAUACCCAUGAGUAUUUUUUAUGGGUAUGGGUAAUACCCAUGGGUACCUAUAAUUUACCCAAUUCCAAGGUCACCCAAAACUCAGAACCACGCCGCCCUCCGCUUCUCCUAGGGUCGCUCCUCCUCCUCAAUCACGGUUGAAAACUCAUCCGACUCCGAGUCCGACGUUGCAUCCAGCGGCGCACCAGCCACGUUCUUCGUGAUCCGCACCCGCAACCGCUCGGCCUCCUUCGGAUCAUCACGCGCGUCUUCCACGUCCUCGGCCUUCACGUCAACAAGGCCACCAUGGAAUUCGAAGGCGACUUCUUCGUGAAGCGGUUCUUUGUCAUCGACUCCCACAGCGCGAGGACGAGGAUCGGGAUAGCCUGGACCGGAUCCAGAAGGCGCUGCUCGACGCCAUCGACGACUGCGGCAGGACCGUCUCGGUGGGAAGACUCACAUCAACGUCACGGCCGGCGACACGCCGUACACGUCGGCGAGUAGUUUUGAGGAUAUGAAUCUAUCGGAGGCGGUGUUGAAGGGCUUGUAUGUGGAGAUGGGGUUCAAGAAGCCGAGUAAAAUCUAGGCAAUCACUUUGCAAUGAGUAAUUGCGUGGGUAAGGGUUUUACCCGUUUAGAAAUGGAUGGGUAAUUACCCGUACCCAGCAAAUUGUGUUAUGGGUAUUACCCACGAACUAGUUUGGGUGGGUAUAAACCCACGGGUUUUACCCAUUGGGUAGGAAUGCCAACUUUAUUUCUUAGUUCGUUGAUCUU